rnacentral:rRNA from 1 species
UACAGAGGUCUCAAGCGUUGUUCGGAUUUAUUGGGCGUAAAGAGCUCGUAGGCGGCUUGUCGCGUCGAAUGUGAAAACCCACGGCUCAACUGUGGGCUUGCAUUCGAUACGGGCAGGCUAGAGUUCGGUAGGGGAGACUGGAAUUCCUGGUGUAGCGGUGAAAUGACGCAGAUAUCAGGAGGAACACCGGUGGCGAAGGCGGGUCUCUGGGCCGAUAUUGACGCUGGAGGAGCGAAAGCGUGGGGAGCGAACAGG